CUUAAUUUUGUGACCUAAACCCCAGAGAGGAAAAAACCCUUUCCCACAAUCAGAUAUCUUAUAAGUGAAGUACCAGGACUACAACUCCAGAUUCUUCAUGGAAAUGACCAUCUGAAUGGGCAAAGAAACCUAUCUAAAAAAGAGGAAAAAACUGCAAAAGAGCUCCAAGACAGCAUACGGGCAGACAUCUGACCUGUGGUAAAAACCAAUUACACAAGUGAGUUUGUUUGUUACCCAGAAAAUUAGCUCUCUGGAAACAUCUGAUUGCAGACACUGUGUCUCCAGGACUCUCUACAAGCUGACACAGAGGCUUUAAAGGGCAACUAUACUCAGAGCCAAUUCGCUUAAUUUCAUACAAUAUAUUUUGGGAUUAAGGUUUAAAAUAGUUGGCCAGUGAUAUUCAAGAGUACAAAAUCAAUUUUCAAUGUAUUAUAGCUUACUGGGUAAUCACACUUCCAUUAAGUUUAUAGGGUGUUUAUUUCCAUUUCAGAGACAUGAAUUCCUAAUAUUAUUUCUAGAUGAUCUAUAAAUAACUCUAGAUAUGCUUGCCAGUGCGUUGCUUUGCUUUUGAUGGCAUAAGAUGGAAAACAUAAAUAACAAAGUAUUCCAUUUUCUUAGCCAAAGGAAAGAAUUCUUUUUUUAAUCCAGAAAAUUGUGUAUUACUUUGGAAGCUACAUGCAAAUCAGGUCAUUUAGACACAAUAUCAAAAGGAAAGGUCUCCUAGGGAACUGUUUGCAGUUUAAAUGUUCGGUAUGUUCCUUCUUCAAUUAAAGCACAGUACAGUAAAGGGACACAUCCCUUGAGUCACCCCUGGUGUUAGAAGUCAUUAGCUUUCCCCAAACCCUAGAAACAGUCUGAAUGAAAACUUUUUGUUGAGGCAAGUAAAAUCUUGGAGGGUAAAUAAAUUUCAGAUUUUAAGAUUCACCGUACAAAUCACAUUUGGGCGGUAAUAUGUUUAAUUUAAUGGUAAGGAAUUCUGUCAAGUGUCAACUUGCUGCCCCCAAAUGAUUUAAGGAAGUCAAUGGAAACUUUAGAAUGAAAAGGUCAGUGAUUGAAGUUAGCUAUUCCAAAUGGCCUUUCUACAAAAACACUAUCUUUUCCAAUAACAAACUUUCUUGAAUAGGCCCAUUCACUAAACUAAAUAAAUGCUGAUAAAUAAUUUGAUAGUCAACUUAACUUUACACCA